UUGAUCGGAUGGUGUUCGUCAUGUUAGGAAGAUGAGUGUGUAACUCGUGGAGUGUGAGCUGUUGCGUGUUAGGAAGUGGGCGUGACCUUGAUGUGUUGGGGCUCGCCUCCCACACUUCUCUUCCUCGUGUACAACAACCAUGGCGGCCCCUACGUGUCGAAUUGUCGAUGGAGGCUUCAGGUCGUCCUUCUCAAGGAGCUGAGGCUGGCCAUUAAGGAUCUGGGGUGAAGGUCAUGUCAUCUCUUCUCGUGGCUCUAAUGCCCACUGCUUCCACUGCUGAUAUUUUGAGCUCUUUGAUCUGAGCAAAAACCAUGGGAAGGUGAAGUUUACUUCCUUGGUUUGACUGAAUUAUCCAUUCAUCUUAUGACACAUUGAACUUUAGGAAUUAAACUUUGGAAGUUCGGUAAUGAUAUGUUUAUACCUUUUAAUUUGUUUAAAGUUCAUGUUUGUAAUGACUAAUGAGGUGGCACUCUUGAAAAGUGAGAAAUUAUGCAGUAUAUCCACUUUCUUCUAUCUAUUUUAAGUAUUAUUGUGGGUCUGCAGUAUGAAUCACUACACGCUGGAGAAGUUCCUGGAGGCGAUCAGGAGCAGAGGCAUCAAGAUAUGCCAUGGGUGCAAUGCCUCGCAGGCUUUUGCACCUGCCUAGUUAUGCAUAUGUUGGCAAGACAAGUUUUGCCUGCUCUGCUUCAUAUCAGUCUCUUCUCAUCGCGGCCAGAGCUUGGAAGCAAUUCAACUAGGCACCAUGACGCUGGAUGGAAGUACAACUUCCUGUCGGAAGAAACACUCGCACGCAGACUCUCUGCCCUCAUUCGCCCGCCGCCGCCCUUCGUCCCUUCGCCGCCGCCGCUCCAUGCCUUCGCCGCCGCCCUCGCACAUCAAAGCCGCCGCCCUCCAUCGCACGAUCCACUUCAGGAGACGCCGCGACCCCGUUGAGGACCAGCCGUCGAUCACGUCCAGGAUCCGACGCCGAUCCCCUUCAGGAGCCGCACGCCAUCGCAGAUCCAUCCCCUGAAAAAUCGGGACUCUUGAGAUGGGCGAUCGAGAGGGGAUCAAAAGGAGUAACUUUCACCUGUGGCCGCAAAAGACCUUUACACCGCCGCCGAGAGCCGUCGUUGUGCAUUGGCUGUGUGCAACCGAGGAGCCGGCCAUGGCCGAGGGCCAAGGCGAGCGCGGCCGUGGGGACUGCCGAGCGAGCGAACGCGCGCGUGCCUGAGGGCGGCCGCUGCGUGCGCUGCAAUGGCGAGAGCGAAAGGAGGAAGAGGAGACCCCUGGUGGCGCGGACAUCCAACGACCCGGACAUCGUUCUCCCAUGACGUCCUCCUCCAAGCCCGAAUCCAGUGCCUCCUCAAGAAAUGGAGAAGCGCCAUGGUUGGCUGUUGCUUGAGGAAAUGAGGAGAUGCAUAUGUCGGCAAUGUUGCUGGAGCAAGGAACCCUUCCAUAUUCUAUAAGGUCUUUCAAUUUAUGUGUCGAGUGUUUUCUUCUUCUAUGAAGUUGGUUGUUCACGGGUGAGACAAACCGAGGAAAAAAUAGGCGUAUAGUGACUAUUUUUAGUUUGUUAGAUCAGUUGUAGAAAUCAAGUGCCUUUUAUG